AAUAGAUACCCAGGUAGUCCACGCCGUAAACGUUGGAUACUAGGUGUGGCGUCCCGAUCAACAGAUGCCGUGCCAAAGCUAACGCAUUAAGUAUCCCGCCUGGGGAGUACGGCCGCAAGGCUAAAACUCAAAGGAAUUGACGGGUCCCCGCACAAGCGGCGGAGCAUGCGGCUUAAUUCGAUGCAACCCGAAGAACCUUACCUGGGUUUGAAAUCAUGGGAAAAGCUGUAGAAAUACAGUGUCCGUAAGGGCCCAUGACAGGUGGUGCAUGGCUGUCGUCAGCUCGUGUCGUGAGAUGUUGGGUUAAGUCCCGCAACGAGCGCAACCCUUGUCCUAUGUUGCCAGCGGUUCGGCCGGGGACUCAUAGGAGACUGCCGGGGAUAACUCGGAGGAAGGUGAGGACGACGUCAAGUCAUCAUGCCCCUUAUAUCCAGGGCUGCACGCAUGCUACAAUGGUCAGUACAACGGGCAGCGACCCCGCGAGGGUGAGCGAAUCCCACAAAGCCGGCCUCAGUUCGGAUUGGAGUCUGCAAC
rnacentral:rRNA from 1 species